GCCAGGCACGGUGGCACUUGCCUGUAAUCCCAGCGGCUCUGGAGGCUGAGGCAGGAGGAUCCUGAGUUCAAAGCCAACCUCAGCAAAAUUGAGGUGCUAAGCAAUUCAGUGAGACCCUGUCUCUA
rnacentral:sRNA from 1 species